GAACGCGUUUGACAUGUCUGAAUUCUGUUUGAAAAAAUAUUUGUAUCAUUGCUAAACAAAAUUUAUAUUGUUUAUUAAUAUAUAUCUGCAUUGCGCAAGGACUAUAAUUUUCCUGUCGCCGCUACCGAAACUUUGGUGCUAAGGCGGCUUUCGGGGGAAUAAACGAGUAGUGAUUAAAUAUUAUGACCAUCGCCAUUAGUCGAGACGUUUAACCCCUUUUCUCACCUCUUGCUCUCACUCUCCGUAUUACCCUAAGAGUAUCACUUUCUAAUCUCCCAUCUGCAUCAUAUCUCCAGAAGAGUCUGUACUUUCCCAUAUAAUUAAAAGAUCCUUGGAUCCUUGGAUGGGAUAGGAGCUCCUCUUCGUAUGGCUUUUCCAAUGAAAUCUUCAACUUCAAGGGUCUCCUGGGGAUAGUUUUAAAAUUCAUCCCCCAUACGAGGACGCAAGGACACAGGGAGGCAAUGCGCGCUCGAAGGAAGGAAAAAAGGGGCCGAGAAAUGGUGAUGGGACGUGUAAGGGAGCGAAGAUGCCGAGACGAACUACACGUCGCUCAUAUCAAUUUAGUGAUCAAUAGUCGACCCUAAAUUAGGUUAAGUUUUUCAGGUCCCCAUGUCUCUCGAUGUCUAUUGCCCAAAAUUUCAUCCACCACCGUGCACCAUAGUGCCACCCUCCUCCCUCGACCCCGCCCAAUCCGCCAAUUAUAUACCUAACUUAUCACCGCGCGCCACUGAUUUUCCACUGAGUGCAAAAUUCUAAUUAGACCCUUUCCGAAAAUGGCCUUUCAAACCCUUCUCUUGAGUCGUGAAAACUUUAGUCAAAUGCUGCCACGAGGGUACCAAUACGUAACCGCGGCUUGGUAAGAGUCACUGUCAAUUUUUUAAUUUUA